rnacentral:rRNA from 1 species
GAUCUGGUCAGGAUGAACGCUAGCGGCAGGCUUAACACAUGCAAGUCGAGGGGCAUCGGGAGUAGCAAUACUGCCGGCGACCGGCGCAAGGGUGCGUAACGCGUGAGCAACAUGCCCGUAUCAGGGGGGAUAAUCCAUGGAAACGUGGUCCUAAUACCCCCAUAGUAAUUAUGUAAGGCAUCUUAUAUAAUUUAAAGCUUUGGUGGAUACGGAUUGGCUCGCGUGACAUUAGCUAGAUGGUAAGGUAACGGCUUACCAUGGCUACGAUGUCUAGGGGUUCUGAGAGGAAGGUCCCCCACACUGGAACUGAGACACGGUCCAGACUCCUACGGGAGGCAGCAGUGAGGAAUAUUGGACAAUGGAUGGAAAUCUGAUCCAGCCAUGCCGCGUGCAGGAAGACGGCCCUAUGGGUUGUAAACUGCUUUUGUAUGGGAGCAAUAAGGGCUACGCGUAGUCCGAUGAGAGUACCAUACGAAUAAGCACCGGCUAACUCCGUGCCAGCCGCCGC